AUUCCUAUAGUGAGCUUAUAAAAGGCCCUUUAGUUCUCUCCAAUAUUUGUAACUAUAGGAGCUUCUCCUUCAACAUUCACAUAUUGAUUGUCAUGUUAUGUUUUCAUUCUUCCAAAUGCAAUCAUAUGUCUUGCAAAAACUUUAUUUAUUUCAAUUUCCUUCUAACUAGUGUCAUCACAAAAUAUACACCAUCAUUUUCACAUCAAUAUUCAUAUAGUGAAUAUUUGCAGCUGGUUUCAUUAAUAUAUAACUUUGCAAAGUUUCCAGAAGGAUACGAUGAACACUUGUACUCAACUCUAUAUAUCAACAGCUACCAAUGAUGCAUGGUGUAAUUCACAAAUUAUUAUUACUUUUUUUGAAUUUUUUUGUGGCAAUCAAUUAUCAAUAUGUAUGAUACUUUGAAGUUGAAGAUUGAUUACCUACUUGUGUAAUUAUUUGUUUCUUCUAAAUUUAUAUGUUAAGCUUUGAAAAUUAAGUUCUAAUAGCAUAGCCUCAGAUUUUUUCA